rnacentral:lncRNA from 1 species
UAUCUCAUCUGGCCUGAGAAUCAGAGCAAAACGUAGUUCGGCCAACUAUGGGGUUAUGGAUUGGGUUUUGGACGAACGACGUCACUAUGCAAUCUACCGGAUGCUCGACCUUUGGAGACUUACUCGUCUGUAGUAGAAGGAGUUAACGUGUUGCUUUGGGUUUUAGGGUUUGGGAUGCUCGAGGGAAAAAAGGCAGUCCUUGACGAAGGAACCGCGCUACCUGCAGGGAUAUGAAUACAAAACACAAAACAUGUAAGAAUCAGAGCAAGCCGUAGUUCGGCUAACUACGGGGUUAUGGAUUGGGUUUUGGGUGAACAACGUUACUACGCAAUCUACCGGAUGCUCGACCUUUGGAGACUUACUCGCCUGUAGUAGAAGGAGUUAGCGUGUUGCUUUGGGUUUUAGGGUUUGGGAUGCUCGAGGGAAAAAGGGCAAUCCUUGACGAAGGAACCGCGCUACCUGCAGGGAUAUGAAUACAAAACACAAAACAUGUAUCUCA